rnacentral:lncRNA from 1 species
AUUAGUAAUAGGAAAAACCCAGAAAGAGACAGAGAGAAAGGGGGAAAAAAAAUCCUCUGAGAACCCUGGUAUAUGUGGCCGGCUAAUUCAAAAAAGUCCCAGCUUGCCCCUGCCAUAAAGCAGGGGACCCCAGACUGGAAGGAGCUCUCCACAGGGACAAGGACGGUUGGAGGAUGAGGCUCAAGGAAACCAACUGGAGAGAGAGAGAUGCUAUCAGCCUCAUUCCAGAGUUAUAGAACGCAGAUGAAAUAAAUGCACCUGACGAUUGAAGUACUCUGUGAUCAAAGGUGGCACACUCUCUUCUUGUAGGCAUGGGACAAAUCAGAAAUGAUGAAAAAAUGCACAGUUGGAGCAAAAUAGGAAGUAGUAAAGAUUCCUUGAAAUCUAUUUCAGAGCUGUUCCUUUGGGGCUAUGAAAUAAAAGACAAGACUGGUAGAAAUGACUUAAAAUGCAAAAAUGGCAAAGGUAAUGAUCACUGUGGGUAGGUUAUAAACGACUGUGGAGAUUGGGGGAGGCUAAAUCAUCCAGCCAAUGGAAAAGUAGUCGUUUGAAUCUGAAGACAGUGAGCCUCUGCCUGCGUCUGUCUCAUGUAUUGGAAU